UCUACCAUAGGAUAAUAGUAUUCCGCUGGUCUUAGGCACCAAAUUACUUGGUGCAAAUCCAAGUGGUAGAA
rnacentral:tRNA from 1 species